AGGUGCGAUCAUACCAGCGUUAAUGCACCGUAUCCCAUCAGAGAUCCGCAGUUAAGCACGCUUGGGCUAGAGUAGUACUGUGAUGGGUGACCUUAUGGUAAGUCCUAGUGUUGCACCCU
rnacentral:rRNA from 1 species